rnacentral:rRNA from 1 species
UACGUAGGGGGCAAGCGUUAAUCGGAAUUACUGGGCGUAAAGCGCACGUAGGCGGCUUUGCAAGUCAGGUGUGAAAGCCUGGGGCUCAACCCCAGAAGUGCAUUUGAAACUGCAGAGCUUGAGUCUUGGAGAGGGUGGUGGAAUUCCGAGUGUAGAGGUGAAAUUCGUAGAUAUUCGGAGGAACACCAGUGGCGAAGGCGACCACCUGGACAAAGACUGACGCUGAGGUGCGAAAGCGUGGGGGAGCAAACAGGG